ensembl:lncRNA
UUGCUGUUAUGACGCGCUCCACUCUGUCUUCUGCGAAGGCGUCCCACUAGAUUUUGGGGCGUGGCCGUGGGGAUCUGCGUCCGUUCAGCUACGAGAGCGUCAGUGAGGUCGGGGUCAGGUGCUGAUGUUGAUGUGAGGACGCUCCGGUUCCAGUUCAUCCCGAAGGUGUUCAGCGGGGUUGAGGUCAGGACUCUGUGCAGGAGACGUUUACAGAGUGACGUCAAGUCAGCGUGGCUGCACACGGCGUGAGAAGCAAACAAAAGUAGCUUUUCUUUACGUUUAAAUGACAGUAUAUUGUAUACACUAGUAUGUGCUUUCGAUCCAGCGACAUACAUACAGUUCACUCGUUACAGUUAGCGGGCUGGCUUGUUGCUAACAAAAGACAAACACGGAAGCAUCCAUGUUUUUCCCACUUUGUAUGAAGAACAUACCAACGUUCAACAUUUUGUCAUUCCAACCUGCGAAUCAUCACUUACCAGGGCAGCAUUAGCCACUAAACUAAGAUACCUAAGCGCGUAAAUACAGUAGCGACACUAAUUAAUGGAAACGCAAUCAAGAAGACAUGUGACAAGGUCAUGUGAUCUGUAGUAUUCUGAUGAGACUGAUGGGUAAUGAAGUCCAGGGCAGCCAAAACCAGCGCUGAUCGUCUUUAAUCAGUGUAAAAGUUGUUCACGUUGAUAAAUCGCUGUGGUAUAAGGGGAAAGGAAACAUGUUGGGACGUGCAGUUUUUGGAAAACAGUUCAAGUCUCUGACCCCUUUGCUGUAAGGGGACGGUUUCCGAACCCGGCGAUGACACUGAGGGGGUGUUUUAAACUCCGGUAACACUGCAGGACCUGAUCAAGUGCAGCUCAUCGGACGGUACCGCAUCCGAGGCCCAGACAGCGUUCCUGAGAGAGAUUACGAAAUAACGAUCAGUUUACAGCGGUUUUUUAAACCCCUCACUAACCCGUUUAUUGGUCAAAUUAAAACCAAAAAAAUAAAGUACCGAAUACAGAAUAACGGACGUGAUGAACUUUAACGCCGAUUAUGGAAAACGCCAAAUUGUGUGCAGCCGAUAUGGAAAGCCGAGCGCCGCUACCGAGAAGGAAAACAAAACCGACCCGCAAACGCACAAACACGAAGGAACUGUUUAGGGCUAUAAAAAAAAAAAAAAAAAAAACGCUGCGGGGAAUAAAAGCCGAAAUAACAAAACUCCUUCCAAAAAAGAUUUCUGGAACGAUAGUGGAGACGUUAACGAGCUUAGAGGUGUGAGCCAGACUGAUUCACACGCUCACAAUGCUGAAAGAAAGUGUAACCACACCCAACACGCACACACACACACACACACACACACACAUGUGCGUUAAUUGCCUCACAGUUUAUGAACUUCCAAUGAACCCUGAUUUAAUCUAUAAAGAAGGUGUAUGAAUCUGAUUAUAAGGAACCGGGAGAAUCUCAUUAAUAGAAAACAUUUAAAAAAAAAAAAAAAAAAAAAAAAGGAAGCCUUAAGUCAUAUCACUCUGACUAUCAAGAACCCUUUAUGUUUGCGAUAGUUAAGAGUUUUCAGCUUCCGAAAAAGCACUGAGAGCCCACUGUGCUAGGGAGACAGUGCUUUAGAGGACAGAGAGAGAACAGAGAGAGACGCAAGAGAGAGACACUAGAGAGAGACACUGUAGUAAAUCGUUAAAGAGAGAGAGAGACACUAGAGAGAGACACUGUAGUAAAUCGUUAAAGAGAGAGAGAGACACUAGAGAGACACUGUAGUAAAUCACACUGUAGUAAAUCGUUAAAGAGAGAGAGAGACACUAAAGAGAAACACUGGAGAGAGAUUGUAGAGAAAGACACUACUGAGAGAGACACGAGAGACACUAGAGAGAGACAAUAGAAGAGACACAGAGAGGGAUACCAGAGAGAGACACACUAUAGAAGAUCAUUAAAAAGAGGGAGACACUAGAGGGAGUGAGGGAUAGUAGAUGAAGACACUAGGGAGAGAGACAUGACAGACACUAGAGAAAGGCACUAGAAGAGACACAGAGAGAGACACCAGAGAGAGAGACACACACACACACACUGUAGAAGAGAAAGACAAUAGGGAGGGAUAGUAGAGAGAGAGAAACACACUAUAGGAAAAAAGACACAAGAGAAAGACAAUAGAGAAAGACCCUAGAGAGCGGCCCAGAGAUACAGACAUAAGACACUAUGGAGAGACAGUAGAGAGAGUGACAUUAGAGAGAGAGAGACAGAGAGAGAAUGACCUGAGAAAGACACUAGAGGAAGACACAAAUAGAGAGAGACACUAGACAGAGACAAUGGAGAGAGAGACAGAUGGUGAGAGUAGAGAGAGCGAGACAUUAGAGAGAAAGACAGACAGACAGGGAGAGAUACACAGAGUGUGAGAGAGACAGACUGAGAGAGAAAGACAGAAAGAGAGUGAGAGAUAGCAAGACAGUUCC